GCCUUCCCACCUAACAGAGGUUUCCGGACGCCAUCAGCCAUCCUUCAGUGAAGGAUUUCUUCAAAUGUUGAAGACAUCAACCUGAUGAUUCUCAGCUGUUCACUGAAAUUUAAGAAUGUGGCAACAAAAAGUAUUGCCUCACUAUAGAAGUCUGGAUCACUUGCUACAAUUUGUGCAAUGAGUCGUCUCAUCUCAGGGGCACAAGCUGGAUUCAAGACUCCCCCUUCAACAACAUAGUACACACUGGUGAAGAGGCAAGAAUUGUCUGCUGGGACCACCAUUCUGGCAAGCACAGGCAAAGUUUCCCUGAAGGAACCAGGAGCACCAUGUUUUGCAAAUGCAGGUGAAGUUUUGAGCCUGGUUUGGUCUUCUUCAACGAUCAGCAUGUCGCCUGUUAAAAAUAAAACAAACCCAGAACU